UACAGAGGUGGCAAGCGUUGUUCGGAAUUACUGGGCGUAAAGGGCGCGUAGGCGGUUCGUUAAGUCCUGUGUGAAAUCCCCCGGCUCAACUGGGGAACUGCACAGGAAACUAGCGGGCUUGAGUUCGGGAGAGGGAAGCGGAAUUCCGGGUGUAGCGGUGAAAUGCGGUAGAUAUCCGGAGGAACACCGGUGGCGAAGGCGGCUCCUGGAC
rnacentral:rRNA from 1 species